GACGAACGCUGGCGGCGUGCUUAACACAUGCAAGUCGAACGGAAAGGCCCUGCUUUUGUGGGGUGCUCGAGUGGCGAACGGGUGAGUAACACGUGACUAACCUGCCCUUGACUUUGGGAUAACUUCAGGAAACUGGGGCUAAUACCGGAUAGGAGCUCCUGCUGCAUGGUGGGGGUUGGAAAGUUUCGGCGGUCGGGGAUGGACUCGCGGCUUAUCAGCUUGUUGGUGGGGUAGUGGCUUACCAAGGCUUUGACGGGUAGCCGGCCUGAGAGGGUGACCGGCCACAUUGGGACUGAGAUACGGCCCAGACUCCUACGGGAGGCAGCAGUGGGGAAUAUUGCACAAUGGGCGGAAGCCUGAUGCAGCAACGCCGCGUGCGGGAUGACGGCCUUCGGGUUGUAAACCGCUUUCGCCUGUGACGAAGCGUGAGUGACGGUAAUGGGUAAAGAAGCACCGGCUAACUACGUG
rnacentral:rRNA from 1 species